UACAGAGGGUGCGAGCGUUGUCCGGAAUCACUGGGCGUAAAGGGCGCGUAGGCGGCUUGGCAAGUGGAAGGUGAAAUCCCUCGGCUUAACCGAGGAACUGCCUCCCAAACUGCUUGGCUUGAGACCGGGAGAGGUGAGUGGAAUUCCCAGUGUAGCGGUGAAAUGCGUAGAUAUUGGGAGGAACACCAGUGGCGAAGGCGGAUCACUGGACCGGUACUGACGCUGAUGCGC
rnacentral:rRNA from 1 species